GAUGAACGCUAGCGGGAGGCCUAACACAUGCAAGCCGAGCGGUAUUUGUUCUUCGGAACAGAGAGAGCGGCGCACGGGUGCGGAACACGUGUGCAACCUGCCCUUAUCUGGGGGAUAGCCUUUCGAAAGGAAGAUUAAUACCCCAUAAUAUAUUGAGUGGCAUCAUUUGAUAUUGAAAACUCCGGUGGAUAGAGAUGGGCACGCGCAAGAUUAGAUAGUUGGUGAGGUAACGGCUCACCAAGUCAAUGAUCUUUAGGGGGCCUGAGAGGGUGAUCCCCCACACUGGUACUGAGACACGGACCAGACUCCUACGGGAGGCAGCAGUGAGGAAUAUUGGACAAUGGGUUAGCGCCUGAUCCAGCCAUCCCGCGUGAAGGACGACGGCCCCAUGGGUUGUAAACUUCUUUUGUAUAGGGAUAAACCUACUCUCGUGAGAGUAGCUGAAGGUACUAUACGAAUAAGCACCGGCUAACUCCGUG
rnacentral:rRNA from 1 species